AUGAGAUUGUGGAAUCUUCUCCUUUGCCUGCUGACAGCUCCCCAAGGUGUCCUGUCUGAGGCGCAGCUGCAGGAGUCAGGCCCAGGACUGGUGAAGCCCUCGCAGACCCUCUCCCUCACCUGCACAGUCUCUGGUGACUCAAUCACCAGUGAUUAUGGUUGGAGCUGGAUCCGCCAGCCCCUAGGGCAAAGCCUUGGGUGGAUGGGAUACAUGUAUUCUGCUGGAAGCACAGCUUAUAACCCAUCCCUCAAGAGCCGCAUCUCCAUCACCAUAGACACAUCCAAGAACCAGUUCUUCCUGCAGCUGAGCUCUGUGACCGACAAGGACACAGGCGUGUAUUACUGUGCGAGACUCACAGUGAGGGGAAGUCAGCGUGAGCCCAGACACAAACCUCCCUGCAGGAUACAGGAGGGGUCUGGGCUGCAGGGGGCGCUCAAGGCCCACCCAGCUCCUGUGCCCCAUGGAGCAGGACUGGUGUGGAUUCCCUCUAAAGCUGUCAAUCCUUCUCAUGUGGAACCCCAGAUCCAACGAAGGACCCGAUCCCAGAGUUUCAACACGUCACCAUCUCACCUCAGUGCAUCCCUCCGGAAAUGGCCUGCAUCAGACCGCCAGUGUGAUGAUGCUGGCAACCAACUCCACUCCAACCUACAUGAACCCGCCGGUAAGGACAACCACAACUAG